CCGACCUGAGAGGGGGAUCGCCCACACUGUGACUGAGACACGCCCCCCACUCCUACGGGAGGGGCCAGAAGGGAAUCUUCCCCAAUGGGCGAAAGUCUGACGCAGCAACGCCGCGUGAGUGAGGAAGGUUUUCGCAUCUCAAAACUCUGUGGUUAGGGAAAAAAACGAACCGCAGAAACUGUGGCGACCUUGAGGGGACCUAUCCCCAAAGCCACGCGUAUCUAUACGCCACCACCCGCGGGAAUAUACAUGUGGGAAGCGUUGUCCGCAAUUAUUGUGCGUAAAGCGCGCGCACGCGGGUCCUUAU
rnacentral:rRNA from 1 species